UCCUAUGCUGUCUAGCCACACUCUCCCCUACCACUACCUUACAGUUGGUAACCUCCUUCAGAUUACAUCGUCUGCACAAGAUGUAAUCCACCUGUGUGCUUCUACCUCCGCUCUUGUAGGUCACCCUAUGUUCGUGCCUCUUCUGGAAAAAAGUGUUCACUACAGCCAUUUGCAUCCUUGUUGCAAAGUCUACCACCAUCUGUCCCUCCAAGCUCCUUUCCUGGAUACCGUACUUACCCAUCACUUCUUCAUCACCCUUAUUACCUUCACCAACAUGUCCAUUACAAUCUGCACCAAUUACGACUCUCUCUCUGUCUGGGAUGCUCAGAACUACAUCAUCUAGCUCCUUCCAGAAUUUCUCUUUCACCUCUAGGUCACAUCCUACCUGUGGGGCAUAGCCACUAAUCACAUUACACAUAACACCCUCAAUUUCAAAUUUCAGCCUCAUCACUCGAUCUGAUACUCUUUUCACCUCCAAGACAUUCUUAGCCAACUCUUCUUUUAAAAUAACCCCGACUCCAUUUCUCUUCCCAUCUACACCAUGGUAAAAUAAUUUAAACCCUGCCCCUAAACUUCUAGCCUUACUGCCUUUCCACCUGGUCUCCUGGACACACAAUAUAUCAACCUUUCUCCUAAUCAUCAUGUCAACCAACUCCCGAGAUUUUCCUGUCAUAGUCCCAACAUUCAAAGUCCCCACAUUCAGUUCUAGGCUCUGUGUUUUCCUCUUCUCUUUCUGCCGAAGAACCCGCUUUCCACCUCUUCUUCUUCUUCUUCUUUGACUUUGACUUCGACCCACAGUAGCUGGAUUUCCAACAGCGCCCUGCAGGUUGACGGCGCCGGUGGCGGACGUUGUUAACCCGGGCCACGACCGAUCCGUGAUUGAGAGCUGUUGAAGAUGGGGCACACUGCCAAGCCAACGGCCCAACAGGAUGCUCCUUUCACCGUCCAACAUAAUGUAAAUCAACAGCUGGUGACGAUUAACAAUCUACAGUAGAUUUGUAUUUUUCUGUGUUUUUAACUGAGUAUAAUGGAUACAUUAAUUCCUUACUCUGCCAAGACAAAGUUUUUUUUUAAGGAAGUGAUACUUUUUUUUUUUCCAAGUUGGAGAACCACAGUAUAUACAGUGGGUACGGAAAAUAUUCAGACCCUCUUAUAUUUUUCACUCUUUAUGUUGCAGCCAUUUGCUAAAAUAAUGUUUUUCUUUUUUUCCUCAUUAAUGUACACACAGCACCCCAUAUUGACUGAAAAAAAUGGAAUUGUUAGAUUUUUUCCAGUUAAUAAAAAAGAAAAACUGAAAUAUCAACACAGCCAUAAGUAUUCAGACCCGUUGAUGUGACACUCAUAUUUUUAACUCGGGUGCUGUCCGUUUGUUCUGAUCAUCCUUGAGAUGGUUCUACACCUUCAUUGGAGUCCAGCUGUGUUUGAUUAUACUGAUUGGACUUGAUUAGGAAAGCCACACACCUGUCUAUAUAAGACUUUACAGCUCACAGUGCAUGGCAGAGCAAAUGAGAAUCAUGAGGUCAAAGGAACUGCCUGAAGAGCUCAGAGACAGUAUUGUGGCAAGGCACAGAUCUGGCCAAGGUUACAAACAAAUUUCUGCUGCACUUAAGGUUCAUAAGAGCACAGUGGCCUCUAUAAUACUUAAAGGAAGACGUUUGGGACGACCAGAAACCUUCCUAGAGCUGGCAGUCCAGCCAGAUUGAGCAAUCGGGGGAGAAGAGCCUUUGUGUGAGAGGUAAGGAAGAACCCAAAGAUCACUGUGGCUGAGCCCCAGAGAUGCAGUCGGGAGAUGGGAGGAAGUUCUAGAAAGUCAACCAUCACUGCAGCCCUCCACCAGUCGGGGCUUUAUGCCAGAGUGGCCCGACGGAAGCCUCUCCUCAGUGCAAGACACAUGAAAGUCCACAUGGAGUUUGCUAAAAGAAAAACUAACAAAACAAAAAAACACCUGAAGGACUCCAAGAUGGGAAGAAAUAAGAUUCUCUGGUCUGAUGAGACCAAAAUAGAACUUUUUGGCCUUAAUUCUAAGCGGUAUGCGUGGGGGAAAACAGGCACUGCUCAUCACCUGUCCAAUACAGUCCCGACAGUGAAGCAUGGUGGUGGCAGCAUCAUGCUGUGGGUGUUUUUCAGCUGCAGGAACAGGACGACUGGUUGCAAUCGAAGGAAAGAUGAAUGCGGCCAAGUACAGGGAUAUCCCGGACGAAAACCUCAGGACCUCAGGAGUGCUCAGGACCUCAGACUGGGCCGAAGGUUCACCUUCAAACAAGACAAUGACCUUAAGCACACAGCUAAAAUAACGCAAGAGUGGCUUCAGAACAACUUUGUGACUGUUCUUGAAUGGCCCAGAGAGAGCCCUGACUUAAACCCAAUUGAGCAGAGACCUGAAAAUGGCUGUCCACCAAUGUUCACCAUCCAACCUGACAGAACUGGAGAGGAUCUGCAAGGAGGAAUGGCAGAGGAUACCCAAAUCCAGGUGUGAAAAACCUGUUGCGUCAUUGCCAAAAAGACUCAUGGCUGUAUUAGCUCAAAAGGGUGCUUCUACUUAAUACAGAGCAAAGCGUCUGAAUACUUAUGGCUGUGUGAUAUUUCAGUUUUUCUUUUUUAAUAAAUCGGCAAACAUUUCAACAAUUCAGUUUUUUUUGUCCAUAAGGGGUGCUGCGUGUACAUUGAGAAAAAAAUGGCUGCAAUAUGACGAAGAGUGAAAAAUUUAAGGGGGUCUGAAUACUUUCGUACCCACUGUAUUGCAGCUAGUUGGUAGCUGUCAGUUUGGAAAAGUGGAGGUGAAUUCAUUUUAAAGUGUUGGCCUUUCCUUUGUUUGAAAGGAAGCACCUUUUCCUCGCUCCUUGAUCCGAAGACGUUUGACACAAUUGUUGAGGACAGGUGGUAUAACAGCAGGAAAUUUGGCUUUUCGAAGAUGCCCCUCUACAAUAGUUUUUUCUGUACAGUGUUUUUUGUUUGUUGUUUGACCAAACUGUUAGAACUAUUAGCGUUCUGGAAACCUUGAUGGUGUUUUUGUAUCAAUCUUUUAAUAAAAUAAAAGAGGAAACCAUCACUGACAA